rnacentral:rRNA from 1 species
AAGUCGUAACAAGGUCUCCGUUGGUGAACCAGCGGAGGGAUCAUUACUGAGUACUACACUCUCUACCUUUGUGAACUAUUAUACCUGUUGCUUCGGCGGCGCCCGCAAGGGUGCCCGCCGGUCUCAUCAGAAUCUCUGUUUUCGAACCCGACGAUACUUCUGAGUGUUCUUAGCGAACUGUCAAAACUUUUAACAACGGAUCUCUUGGCUCCAGCAUCGAUGAAGAACGCAGCGAAACGCGAUAUGUAAUGUGAAUUGCAGAAUUCAGUGAAUCAUCGAAUCUUUGAACGCACAUGGCGCCUUCCAGUAUCCUGGGAGGCAUGCCUGUCCGAGCGUCGUUUCAACCCUCGAGCCCCUGUGGCCCGGCGUUGGGGAUCUGCCACGGCAGGCCCCUAAAACCAGUGGCGGACCCGAAGGGCCCUCUCCUUUGCGCAGUAGCAUUCGCCUCGCAUCGGGAGUCCUCGGCGUCCUGCCUCUAAACCCCCCACAAGCCCGCUUCGGCGGCACCAAGGUUGACCUCGGAUCAGGUAGGAAUACCCGCUGAACUUAA